rnacentral:rRNA from 1 species
UACGUAUGGAGCAAGCGUUAUCCGGAUUUACUGGGUGUAAAGGGUGCGUAGGUGGCAGUGCAAGUCAGAUGUGAAAGGCCGGGGCUCAACCCCGGAGCUGCAUUUGAAACUGCUCGGCUAGAGUACAGGAGAGGCAAGCGGAAUUCCUAGUGUAGCGGUGAAAUGCGUAGAUAUUAGGAGGAACACCAGUGGCGAAGGCGGCCUGCUGGACUGUUACUGACACUGAGGCACGAAAGCGUGGGGAGCAAACAGG